rnacentral:rRNA from 1 species
GACGAACGCUGGCGGCGUGCUUAACACAUGCAAGUCGAACGGAAAGGCCUGCUUUCCCUUGUGGAUUGCGGGUACUCGAGUGGCGAACGGGUGAGUAACACGUGAGUGAUCUGCCCCCAACUUGGGUAUAAGCCUGGGAAACUGGGUCUAAUUCCCGAUAGGACUGCAGGGUGGUGCCCGUGGUGGAAAACGAUUUUCUAGUGGUUGGGGAUGAGCUCGCGGCCUAUCAGCUUGUUGGUGGGGUAAUGGCCUACCAAGGCGGCGACGGGUAGCCGGCCUGGGAGGGUGGACGGCCACAUUGGGACUGAGAUACGGCCCAGACUCCUACGGGAGGCAGCAGUGGGGAAUAUUGCACAAUGGGCGGAAGCCUGAUGCAGCGACGCCGCGUGGGGGAUGACGGCCUUCGGGUUGUAAACUCCUUUCGACCGCGAGGAAGCCACCUGGUUGGAAGGGUGGUGACGGUAGUGGUAGAAGAAGCACCGGCUAACUACGUG